rnacentral:rRNA from 1 species
UACGGAGGGUGCGAGCGUUGUCCGGAAUCAUUGGGCGUAAAGGGCGCGUAGGUGGCCCGGUCAGUUCGUGGUGAAAGCGCGGGGCUCAACCCUGCGUCGGCCAUGAAUACUGCCGCGGCUGGAGCACUGUAGAGGCAGGCGGAAUUCCGGGUGUAGCGGUGGGAAUGCGCAGAUAUCAGGAGGAACACCGGUGGCGAAGGCGGGUCUCUGGGCCGAUACUGACGCUGAGGAGCGAAAGCAUGGGUAGCGAACAGG